CUAUGGCUUAUGUUUAUUCAUGAUUGGAGUGCGAGCAUUGGUUAUGGACCAUUGUAUGGGUUCCUUGAACCUCAGUGUAUCCACAAUGCAAGCAGUAGACGUCAAGAGUGUGAAAAUUACAUUGGAAGGUGGUUGAAGGAAGCAGGAAAACAAAUUUACAUAGCACCUUAUUUAAACCAGGCCCAUUGGCAGCUCGUUGUAUUGUGCCCAGGCGACAAUGUAGUGGUUUGGUUUUGUUCUUUGAAGAAGAAGCCGGAU